rnacentral:lncRNA from 1 species
UUUUUUUUUUUUUUUUUUUUUUUUUUGUUCAGUGAUUUCUAACAAAACCUAAGGUUGUCCUAAAUUUUACAGCUGAAUAUGAUUUGGGAUCUCUUGAAGUUAAAGAGGUCUCAAAGACAUUGUCUUCUGGCCUCUUAACUCAAGUCCUCACAUGAAAAAAGUACCUCAGAAGGGUUCACCCUUUUAUCAGUUCAGGGUUGCUUACGGUGGCUUAAACACGUAAGGGUUUAUUGAUUCUCUUGUAUAAAAGAAAUUCAGGAAUCUGCAGUCCAGACACGUGUGGUGACAUCAUGGGCGUCAGAGGCCUAGGAUUUUCCUUUCUUCACCACCGAUAUGGCCUGCAACAGAGCUGGAACUCCAGCCAUCACAUCCACCUCGCAAGCUGCAAGAAAAGGGGAACAACAAAAGUAUAUUCCAACUGUGUUUCCCUCCUAAGGAGCAAUUCUAGAAGUCCUGAAAGAGGACUUCGUUGGCCUCCAUUUUGACCUCAAACUUUCUAGUGGGGUUCUUUCCAGCUUUUCCCUUGGCUCAGGUGGAAGAGCCUGAAGGCAAAGCAUCCCCUGAUGAGAAUCAGAACUACCCCCUGAAGCAAUAAGGACUGCCCUGAGCCAGCAAGUCACCACCCAUGAUAGACUCUUAAGACUAUGAUGGAUUUAAACCUUCCUUCACUGCCCACCAGCACUUACCCACCCACCUUUGCCCCACAUUUCCCUUAUACAUACCUGGAAGUAUUUUCAACCUUUUGGAGAUGGUCUUUGAACCCCUACUCCUCUGUCUUCCCAGUGUUGGCCUCACUGAAAUAAACUUUCUUCUUUCACCACCACUCAUCUCUCUGCCUUUGGACUUUGUCAGCGGCAAGUGGUUGAACUUGGUCUGUUUGGGAAUCUCAGAGGCAGGUGCUCUUGCACCCCUGUGUCCUGGCUACAAUCAUAUUGAGCAAUUACAUGGAUGCAGCUAGUUGCAGUGAAGGCUUGAAAGUUGUGUUUACUUAAGUUACAGAAAAUGUAGUUUACUUAAUUCUUUCCUUCAGAGCAGAGCUGUUGAAAAGAGCUUUGAUAAUGGAAAUGUUCAGUAUGUGCUCUAAUACAGUAGCCACUAGGCCCCAAGUAGUUAGUAUCUGAAAUGUGGCUAGUGUGGCAAUGGAAUUAUUUACUUCUAUUUAAUUAAUUUAAAUAUCCUUGGCUAGUAACUUUUAUUGGACAGCAGAGCCCUAUGAUAUAAACUCUAUGAGUAGGGGUCUUUGUUAAUUGCUGUACCUCAGGAGUCAGAACAGGGCUUGACCCAAUAAUUGUUGAUAAAUGAAUGGAUGAAAUAAAGUUUCAUUUCUCUUAAUUAAGUCAAAUCCCAUCUCAGUUAAUAGGAUUCAGCAUAAAUCCAAGACCUAGUAUAACAGUGCUUUUCAGAGAACUGGGAAACAACUUGGUGAAUAGUGAUCAACUUAAUUAAAAAUGACAAUGAGAAGAAGAUAGAAUCACGUGUAGUAAAGGUGAAUAUUGUUUCAUGAAACUUAGGUUUUAGAUUUACACAUGUAUAUGAGUACUGGAUCUGAACAUAAGACAUAUUUCUUCAUGUGGAUCUAGGUCAAAAAGUUUUGAAAGCCAUUGAUUUAGGCAACUUUUCAAAUAUAUUUCUUGGCAGCUUCAACUGGUCAAUGUCAGUGGAUGAUUUUUUUUUUUUUUUUUUUUUUUUAAGGUGCCCCAAGAUUUGGUCAGCAUCUACUUUUUGACUCUGUGGCCUUUGGACAAGGCUCAUGUUUUUGUCACAAAGUCUCGUGUUAAUGUUCUAUGACCUUGCUCAACAGUACCAAGGCCUGUCUGGGAGUUCCAGGCCAGUUGCAGGCAAUAUCUAGGUCUAGCUGAGAAGACAGGUUCUUAGUGAAAGGAAGCAACGUAAUUAAUAAUAACUUCUUUUAGUGUCUUUGAUGAAUGUAAAAUGAUCGUUAGAAUCUAAGAUAUUCUUAGAUAUUUGAAUAUUUCUUUUAACUUUGAAACAUAGGACUUAAAUUAUCUGGCUUAAAAAAUCACAAUACAUGUAAUAAAGCAUUUAUAAACCAUAGAGAAAAACUACAGAUAACUAGUCUUGAUGUUAAUAUUCCCCCAUCAAUGUUCAUAAACUUUUUACAGAGUAAGGUAGAGGAAGGGGGUGCCUGGCUGGCUCAGUCAGUAAGGUGUACAACUCUUACAACUAUUGAUUUCGGGUCAUGAGUUCAAGCCCCACAUUGAGUAUAGAGCUUACUAUAAAUACAUACAUACAUACAUACAUACACACAUAUAAAUAGAUAAUAAAUGUAUUUUUUUAAAAAACCACAUCAGGAGAGACUCUUCAUCAGAUGACUUUUAAGCAUAGGUUACUGUUUGUUUUAAGCCUGCUUUAAUCUAUGAAUAAGCCAACUUGAAGAUUUCUUGGUUGGGGCUACUUGUAAUCAUUUUUAGACUAGAUUUUAUUUAUUCAUGAGAGAUACGGAGAGAGAGGCAAAGACACAGGCAGAGGGAGAAGCAGGCUCCCUGCAGGGAGCUGGAUGUGGGACUCCAUCCCAGGACCCCGGGAUCACGCCCUGAGCCAAAGUAGACACUCCACCAUUGAGUCACCCAGGUGCCCCUAGGCUGGAUUUUAAAAAACGAGUGGAGGGACACUUGGGUGGCUCAGUGGUGAAGCAUCUGCCUAUAGCUCAGGGCAUGAUCCUAGACUCCCAGGAUUGAGUCCCCCAUUGGGCUCCAUGCUUCUUCCUCCCCCUGUGUUUCUGCCUGUCUCUCUGUGUGUCUCUCAUGAAUAAAUAAAAUCUUAAAAAAUAAAAAUGAGUGGAAGACUAUUAGACUAAGCAGUCAGAUGGAUGGGCAACUCCAGCUUUCCAGUUCUUAAUCUCAGAUAAUUGUUCAAGUAUUUUUUCAUUUAUUAUGAAUAUUUUCCCAUAUCAUUAACCAUUCAUCUAGAAUGUCAUUUAAAAUGAUUAUAAAUAUUCCCUGACUGGCUUAGCAUGUAUAAGCAUGCAACUCUUGAUCUCAGGGUCAUAAGUGCAAGCCCCACAUUGGGCAUGGAACCUACUUUAAAAAAAAAAUCAUAAAUAUUCCAGUUGAUGAAUGUUGGAAUUUAUCUUUAAAUCAUAAAUCCAAAACACUGGAAAACACAGAGACACACAUUUUAAAAAUGUUUAGGUACCCACCAACCACAAUAAAUAACUGCUAACAUUUUUCAUAUUUGCUUCAAGUUUUGCUUUUUUUUUUUUUUUCAAUGAAUGAAAAAAUGUGACCGAUCACAUU